CCCUUAGAUGUCCGGGGCCGCACGCGCGCUACACUGAAGGAAUCAGCGUGGCUUUCUCCCUGACCCGAAAGGGUUGGGAAACCCGUUGAAUCUCCUACGUGAUAGGGAUUGGGGCUUGAAAUUGUUCCCCAUGAACGAGGAAUUCCCAGUAAGCGCGAGUCAUAAGCUCGCGUUGAUUACGUCCCUGCCCUUUGUACACACCGCCCGUCGCUACUACCGAUUGAACGGUUUAGUGAGGGCCUCGGAUUGGUCUCGGCCCGCUCUUUACCGGGCGGCGCCGUUGGUCGAGAAGACGCUCGAACUUGAUCGUUUAGAGGAAGUAAAAGUCGUAACA
rnacentral:rRNA from 1 species